AUGAAGAUACCUCUUACGUAUAAAACAUUUGCGUGGUAUCUUCAUCGUAGAGUCAUUCUUACUAAAGAUAACCUUACUAAGAGGAAUUGGCAUGAAAGUACGCACUGUGUCUUUUGUCACCAUGAUGAGACAAUUAAAUAUUUAUUCUUCCAAUGCAAAUUGGCUUGUUCUAUAUGGUCAGUCAUCCAAAUAGCUUCUGGCUUGUAUCCUCCUUGUAGUGUUGCUAAUGUAUUUGGCAACUGGUUACAUGGGAUUGAUCACAUAUUUGGAACUCUUCUCAGGGUGGGAGCGCUUGCCAUUAUUUGGUCGCUUUGGGUAUGUAGAAAUGAUAAGGUUUUUAAUGACAAAAGUACUUCUCUGAUGCAGGUUAUCUACUGA
rnacentral:rRNA from 1 species